UGCUGGGUGGAUUAGUGGCGAACGGGUGAGUAACACGUGAGUAACCUGCCCUUAACUCUGGGAUAAGCCUGGGAAACUGGGUCUAAUACCGGAUAGGAGCGUCCACCGCAUGGUGGGUGUUGGAAAGAUUUAUCGGUUUUGGAUGGACUCGCGGCCUAUCAGCUUGUUGGUGAGGUAAUGGCUCACCAAGGCGACGACGGGUAGCCGGCCUGAGAGGGUGACCGGCCACACUGGGACUGAGACACGGCCCAGACUCCUACGGGAGGCAGCAGUGGGGAAUAUUGCACAAUGGGCGCAAGCCUGAUGCAGCGACGCCGCGUGAGGGAUGACGGCCUUCGGGUUGUAAACCUCUUUCAGUAGGGAAGAAGCGAAAGUGACGGUACCUGCAGAAGAAGCACCGGCUAACUACGUGCCAGCAGCCGCGGUAAUACGUAGGGUGCGAGCGUUAUCCGGAAUUAUUGGGCGUAAAGAGCUCGUAGGCGGUUUGUCGCGUCUGUCGUGAAAGUCCGGGGCUUAACCCCGGAUCUGCGGUGGGUACGGGCAGACUAGAGUGCAGUAGGGGAGACUGGAAUUCCUGGUGUAGCGGUGGAAUGCGCAGAUAUCAGGAGGAACACCGAUGGCGAAGGCAGGUCUCUGGGCUGUAACUGACGCUGAGGAGCGAAAGCAUGGGGAGCGAACAGGAUUAGAUACCCUGGUAGUCCAUGCCGUAAACGUUGGGCACUAGGUGUGGGGACCAUUCCACGGUUUCCGCGCCGCAGCUAACGCAUUAAGUGCCCCGCCUGGGGAGUACGGCCGCAAGGCUAAAACUCAAAGGAAUUGACGGGGGCCCGCACAAGCGGCGGAGCAUGCGGAUUAAUUCGAUGCAACGCGAAGAACCUUACCAAGGCUUGACAUGUUCUCGAUCGCCGUAGAGAUACGGUUUCCCCUUUGGGGCGGGUUCACAGGUGGUGCAUGGUUGUCGUCAGCUCGUGUCGUGAGAUGUUGGGUUAAGUCCCGCAACGAGCGCAACCCUCGUUCCAUGUUGCCAGCACGUAAUGGUGGGGACUCAUGGGAGACUGCCGGGGUCAACUCGGAGGAAGGUGAGGACGACGUCAAAUCAUCAUGCCCCUUAUGUCUUGGGCUUCACGCAUGCUACAAUGGCCGG
rnacentral:rRNA from 1 species